rnacentral:rRNA from 1 species
GAUCCUGGCUCAGGAUGAACGCUAGCUACAGGCUUAACACAUGCAAGUCGAGGGGCAGCAUGAACUUAGCUUGCUAAGUUUGAUGGCGACCGGCGCACGGGUGAGUAACACGUAUCCAACCUUCCGUUUACUCAGGGAUAGCCUUUCGAAAGAAAGAUUAAUACCUGAUAGUAUGGUGAGAUUGCAUCGAUAGCACCAUUAAAGNUUUAUUGGUAAACGAUGGGGAUGCGUUCCAUUAGG